rnacentral:rRNA from 1 species
AUUGAACGCUAGCGGGAUGCUUUACACAUGCAAGUCGAACGAGUGGCGGACGGGUGAGUAAUAUAUCAGAACGUGCCCAGUAGCGGGGGAUAAAUACUCGAAAGAGUGGCUAAUACCGCAUACUAUUGGAACGGCCGAUAUCGGAUUAUCUAGUUGGUGGGGUAAAGGCUCAUCGAGGCAACGAUCCGUAGCUGGUCUGAGAGGACGACCAGCCACACUGGGACUGAGACACGGCCCAGAAUCCUACGGGAGGCAGCAGUGGGGAAUUUGGGACAAUGGGGGAAACCCUGAUCCAGCCAUCCCGCGUGUAUGAGAAGGCCUUCGGGUUGUAAAGUACUUUUGGCGUAGAAGCGGUAUCUGCAGAAUAAGCACCGGCUAACUACGUGCCAGCAGCCGCGGUAAUUC